rnacentral:lncRNA from 1 species
AGCUUAAACCAUCACCCAAUCUUUUAAAUAUCUAAUAAAGGACAUAGUCACUUGUAGAAAUUGAACUAAUCGUCCUCCCUAUUUCAUUAUCAACUUGAGUAAAGAGAUCUAUUUGCUAUUUGAACAAAUACUAACUCCUAUUUCUCAUAUUUGUUUGACGACAUCCUAAAAGUUAAAAUUUUCACAGAAUACUAUAAAAUAAAAAAGAAAGUUUGAAAAAAAAAGGCAUGCCUCCUUACACAACUUUCUCUUCAGCAUGGUGAAUUGAUAAGCUAAGUAGGAAACAAAUUUGAAAAAUAUCAAUAGUCUUGACAUCAAAACUACUGAAAAUGAUUUCACUUAUAGUUAAACUCAACUUCAACCUUAGAGACUUCAAUUACUUGGUGAAUUAAUAAGCCUAAGUAGGUAAAGAAUCUCGAAAACAUCCAUACUUAAUUGGAUAAGGACCUAUUGAAGCCAAGUAUUGGUGAUUUUAGUGAGUAAUAUAGCUUUUGUAAUAGCUUUACCUAGGAUUUCGGACUAGUGGUGAAUCAGGAGAUGAUGGCUGCUAAAGAGUGAUUUAAGAGGAAUUGUAUUGGUCUUGGAGUAUCACAUUAAAUAGGAGGAUUUUUAUUAUCUUUGACUUUUUC